rnacentral:rRNA from 1 species
UCUUCCUAUGUCAUUAUUACCUUUUAUAACUUAACCCUCAGGUGCAGAUGCCUGAAUCCCCUUGAAAGACAAAAAGACCCUAUAGAGUUUUAGUACUAAACCCCCAUUUUUAUACUUUAGUUGGGGCGACUAAGGGUUUCUAAAACCACCCUACCUGACCAAAGAACUAUAUUUCCUAAUAAAGACCCAAACGUUUUGAUUUAAAAAAUAAACUACCUUAGGGAUAACAGGCUUAUCUUCCUAAAGAGCCCAAAUCAAAAGGAAGGUCUGGCACCUCGAUGUUGGCUUAGAGUAACCCAUUAAUGCAAAAGUUAAUGUAAGUCAGUUUGUUCAACUGUUAAAUCUCU